UACGAAGGGGGCUAGCGUUGUUCGGAAUUACUGGGCGUAAAGCGCACGUAGGCGGACAUUUAAGUCAGGGGUGAAAUCCCGGGGCUCAACCCCGGAACUGCCUUUGAUACUGGGUGUCUAGAGUGUGGAAGAGGUGAGUGGAAUUCCGAGUGUAGAGGUGAAAUUCGUAGAUAUUCGGAAGAACACCAGUGGCGAAGGCGGCUCACUGGCUCAUACUGGACGCUGAGGUGCGAAAGCGUGGGGAGCAAACAGG
rnacentral:rRNA from 1 species